UACGUAGGGUGCGAGCGUUAAUCGGAAUUACUGGGCGUAAAGCGUGCGCAGGCGGUUUUGUAAGUCAGAUGUGAAAUCCCCGGGCUCAACCUGGGAAUUGCAUUCGAUACUGGAUAGCUAGAGUUCGGCAGAGGGAAGCGGAAUUUCGGGUGUAGCGGUGAAAUGCGUAGAUAUCCGAAGGAACAUCAGUGACGAAAGCGGCUUCCUGGACCAGAACUGACGAUCAGGCUCGAAAGCGUGGGGAGCAAACAGG
rnacentral:rRNA from 1 species